UUAGCAUUUGAAGAUGCAAUGUCUAUCUGUUUCAGAGAUUCUCAUUUAACAAAAAUCUGCAAUUUAAACGAUUAUGAUACUUGACAGAUUUUGUUUUGUGAUAUUCAGGAAUGUACUAUGAACCAUGAGUUGAAGAGAACUAAAGUAAGCAAGUUAAAAGAUGACUGUUUCUUUGAGAAUGAGAAACAAUCUCAUAAAACUAUCAAUCAAAUGUUUUUAAUUAACACGAGAAAUAAAUUUAAGAAACAUAAAAAGGUGUCGAAAUUAAAGCCUGGAGAAGUAAUAUUGAUUGAUUUAACGAAGGAGGAUGAAUCAAUGGUAAACAAGAAGAAGAAUAAAAAGAGAAAUAAUAAAAAAUUGGAAUGGUUACAAAUGAUGAAGAAAAAAUAUAAAGUACAAAAACAAAAUAAUGAAGUAAAGUGCAGUGAUCAAGUGGAAAUUACAGAUAAGAAAGAAAACUCUGAAAAUUUAAUGGAUAAAAUUCUUUUGGAGUACUUGCCGGUUUUGGACAAUAAAGCUAACGAAAGUACAGAAAACUGUGCUUCAUUGGAUCAAGAACCAAUCAAAGAUAAUACUCAUUAUAUUAAUUCACAAAACAUUUAUGCUUAUAUUUUAAAUAAAAAAAAUAACGAAUUAAAAUGUUUGCUUCAACACAAACAGUGUGAUACAAGCACUUCAUCGCCAAAACAAAUUAAUUUACAGCGCCAUAAACUUUUAACUUUAUUGAAACUUCUAGACACCAUGGGACAAAAUAUUAAAUUGCCAAAAACAAUAUUGAGUCUACUUAGGGAGAAUAGAGAGGAAAACGAAAUGUUUCAAGAUGCUUUUCUUUCUAAAAAUCUAGCCAAUAAAUCUAGUGUAAUAGAUACUCAGGGUAAAGAAGAAUCAUUCUUUCAACCAAAAAGUUCCAUAGAGACAAUACCAUUGUCGAAAGAGUGCCAAAAUAAUGUUACAAGUAUGCAGUUUAUAAAACAAGAAUUAUCAAUAAAUACAAACUGUAAUACGACACAAGCUGAUACUUAUUGUCGUAAUCAACCUGUUUAUGUACAAAGUGAUUGUCAUUUACAUGAUUUUAUAUCCAUGAACAGUCAUGGUUCACAAGUAACAGAAGCUGUGAAACAAAAGGUUUCUUGUGAUACUCACGAGUGUACAAGUUAUUGUAAAAAAGUUGAAACAAAACCUUUUUCUUAUCACAGCAAUGGUAUAUUCAAUAUGAUAAAGAGUGAAGACGUGACACAAAAUAAUGGUACAGAUAAAAAAUUAAUUUGUGACAAAAAUGUAAUAUGUAUGUUGAGCGAUCUUGAUAAAUGCAUGAACGUUUUAAAUCGUAUCGGUGAACAUAUUAUGACAGUUCAUGCAGAGAAACAACGGUCAGAAUGUUCUGAUAAAACAGAUAUGUGUGCUGUUGCUACAACAGUUUUCGAAGAUCAAAUUGCAGGGUCCUCAUCCAGUUGGAUACAAAAUAUUAAUUCAUUUACAAACUUAGAGAAAUUAAACAAACUUCUAGAAUUAUACGAAAAAAAGGAAUUACAAAAUGCGUGCAAUUGUCAAGAUUUUCACAGGUGGAAUGAUAAAGAAACCAAUACAGUAUUAAAUCAACUAAAAUAUGACUCGAAUAACUGUAAAAAGAUAAUUGUUUCAACGUCUCAACCAAAAGAACAUUAUUCUCAUGGUAAAGACAAUGAAAAUAAGUCUUCUCAAAACUUUGUUUUUAAUCACAUAAAGUCUGAAAUUGAACAGUCUGUUAAGAAAGAAGAUAACGAAAGUUGUAGUAUAUUAAGCAAAGAAUCUGAGCAAAUGAAUGAAUAUAAAGUAAUUACUUCAACAAAUAAUUAUACCCAUAUCAACGAAUUCUUUAUGGGCGAUUCAAAAAGUAAUAAAGAAUUAAAUCAAGAUGUACAUUGUGAAUCUACAUUUCAAAAUGUCUCACAAAAAAUUAAUGUAACAAAAACAUGUUCCAUAGAUGAAUUUGAGAAUACUGAUAUAUUAGAUAAUAUUCUGAAUGGAGAUAUUACUAUUGAAGAUGAACAAGAAAUUUUGGAAGAUUGGCAGUCGCCACUAAUGUCACCAAUUAAUUAUGAUAAUUCUAACAAUGUGUUAAAUUGCAUUGCAGAAUUUUUUUCACAAUCUGAACAUACAUAUACAAAUAAAAAAGAAGAAAAAUAUAGCACAGCAGAUACAGAGAUUACUCAAACGCCAUUACCUGAGGGUAGUCUUGGAACAAUUGGAAUAUUAAAUUCUUUAUUUGAUUUUGAUUUAACAAAUAUGGAUUUUCCUUCAAAAGACUUCACAUAUUCCAAUGUACAAGCAGUUAAUCCACGGUUAAUUAAAAAGACAUUUGAAACAGAAAUUUGUUCAAUGAAAGAUUAUGAUAUCUCUGAAUUCAGUUCACAGGACGAAACUUUUGCAUUUAACAAAAGUGAUAAAAAAAGUAUAUUUUCACAGAAAGGAAAAGAACUAUGUAGUAAUCAAAAUUAUAUAAUUGAUAGUAGCGUGGAUGUAGUUGGAUUUGGUUUGAAUACAAGUAAAGAGAAAGCACUGGAAUUUCCUUCAUUAAUUAAAAAUUCUGAUCGAGCUACUAAUUUUGUCAAUUCAGAUAACAUAUCUUCCGAAAUGAAAGAAUCAUUUCCUAAGAGCAGUCUUUCUAGUCCUAGUGGUAUAACAGAAAAGUCCUAUAUUUUUCAAAAGGAAGAUGCUGUUAACCAAAUAGAAUGUUUUAAUAUGGUGAACCAUGUUUCAUCUGACAUUUGUACUUCCAAUGAAAUUCCAUUAAAUAUAUCAAGACAGCAAGAUGAUAUCCAAUCAUCUGAUAUUGAAUUUGAAUCUAAUCCUUCAGUAGUGAAACAAUCUUUAGAUGCCUGUGACUUAUUGUCUUCCACAGAUUUAAUACAGUGCAAUACAAACGUAAUUCCACAAUGUAUAGAACAAGAAUGUGAUGAAAGUAUUAAACAAAAAAAUAACCAAAAGGACAUACAACGUAAUUGUAAAAAGAAGCAAAAUUGCACUACAAAACAUAGAGUAGAAGUACGUACACAGUCUAGGUCAUCCAAUAGAAAAUUAAAAUACAAGAAGAAGAUUAAAGUGAAGAGGAAAAAAGAAGAAUCAUCUUCAUCUAUUGUUCAAUCUAAACGUAAUGAAUUGAGCUUAAGAUGUUCACAGCUUACUGGCAUUAACCUUCUAAAUCAACAAGAUAUGGAAAAUACACGCGAGUUACCUUUAUCAACGUUUCAUGUGUCAUAUUGUCAAAAAUCACCGCAAAUUAUAUGUACCUCUGAAAAUGAGUAUAAGCAGUUCAAAUGUGUAGGCAUUCAACGAUUGAGAAAUAUAUCUCAACGAAAACAAAAAAUGUUAUUGAAUUUUCAUAACGAUACUGUGAUAGAUGCAAUUUUCAAAGAGGAUUCAAAAUUGGAGAAUCUUAAACCCAUCAUGGAAGAUAACAUCUCGGAAGAUUCGAAUGUAUCAUGUUCUUUUGAAGAUCCACGUAUGUCAGAUAAUAAAACUUGCAUCAAACUUUUAAAAAAAAAUAUAGAACUUGACACAGACGUUAGUAAAGUAAAUGUUACGUCAGGCAAACGUGUAACUGAAAUUUCAAAUAAUAUGCUUGUUAAGUCUGACGCUAGUUGGUUACUACAAAAUGAAGAUACGAGAUCUUCAAAAUUUAUUGAAAAACAAAUGAUUGUGACUUUAGAUGAAGAAAUGCCUUCAAAAAAAAGGAAACUAACUUCUAAGUUUUCAUCAAAUUUGGAAGAAAAUGCAGUUGUUUAUUCUGUAAAUCAGCAGAAACUGCAAAAAAAACAUUUUACUGUAAAGAAAGGUAAAGUUAUAUUUUUUGUUUUUUACUUUAUUUGAAACAUACAUUGGUGCCUUUUCUAAUAUUUACAUCGUUCUGAACAUAUCGGUUUUGGUAUAUUUCUAUAAAAUACUUUGAUGAAGUGAGAUUCCUUGCAUUUUUAUAAUAUCAGUAAUAUAGUUUUAUAAUUUUAUAAAUCAAAUCAUUUUAAAAAAGAACUGAAAUGAUUCUCUUCAUGGAAGAUCUACACUGGAAGAUGUUACUACAGUGUGUUUAGUGCCUUAUGAUUGUUUCACCAGUACAGUUCUUUGUGCUGACAAACUAAAUUAAAAUAUACAUAUACUUUAUAUAAAUUUAUAAUUCAAAGUAAAUGUUUGCAUUUGAAAAAGUAUUGUUGAAAAUCAACAUUUAUUUUUUUAAGAGUAUAAUUAACACAGAAACAAACUAUAAAGUUUAGAAAAUUUCUUUAUCUUUAAGAAUAUAGUAUUACUCAGGUGUCAUAUGUGCAAGACGGAAGAAAAAUACGAUUAGUGAGUAAAUAAUAACAUUUAAAAUAUGUACAAUAUUUCUAAAAUAAGCCUUACUUAUCUAUUAGAAUCAACAGGUAUUUUAAAUAUAUUUGAAAAUAUACUUCUACAAACUUUUACGAAUUUAAGGGAAAAGAAUUGCUACUGUAUCAACCAUCAGGCAAUUCAUACAAAGCUACAUUACUUACAUGCAUUUUCUUUUAUAAUGAAAUCAACUUUCGAAAAAUAUAAGAAAAAGUACUGUUAGUAAUGU